UACAGAGGUGGCAAGCGUUGUUCGGAAUUACUGGGCGUAAAGGGCGCGUAGGCGGCCUGCUAAGUCGAACGUGAAAUCCCCGGGCUCAACCCGGGAACUGCGUCCGAUACUGGUGGGCUUGAAUCCGGGAGAGGGAUGUGGAAUUCCAGGUGUAGCGGUGAAAUGAGUAGAUAUCUGGAGGAACACCGGUGGCGAAGGCGGCAUCCUGGACCGGUAUUGACGCUGAGGCGCGAAAGCUAGGGGAGCAAACGGG
rnacentral:rRNA from 1 species